UACGAAGGGGGCUAGCAUUGCUCGGAAUUACUGGGCGUAAAGCGCACGUAGGCGGCCAUGAUAGUCAGAUGUGAAAGGCCUGGGCUUAACCCGGGAACUGCAUUUGAUACUGCAUGGCUAGAGUCCAAGAGAGGGUAGUGGAAUUCCCAGUGUAGAGGUGAAAUUCGUAGAUAUUGGGAAGAACACCAGUGGCGAAGGCGGCUACCUGGCUUGGUACUGACGCUCAGGUGCGAAAGCGUGGGGAGCGAACAGG
rnacentral:rRNA from 1 species